rnacentral:rRNA from 1 species
UACGGGGGGAGCAAGCGUUGUUCGGAUUUACUGGGCGUAAAGGGCGCGUAGGCGGCCACCGCAAGUCAGUUGUGAAAUCUCUGGGCUUAACCCAGAAAGGUCAACUGAUACUGCGGGGCUAGAGUGCAGAAGGGGCAACUGGAAUUCUCGGUGUAGCGGUGAAAUGCGUAGAUAUCUGGAGGAACACCGGUGGCGAAGGCGGCAUCCUGGACCAAUACUGACACUGAGGAGCGAAAGCCAGGGGAGCAAACGGG